AAAGUAUGGCUUCAUGUCAACUCUUAAUUUAUUCAGACUUAUUAGAAAACAAGGACUCAGAUGACGUUUUUGUUCAAGCAGUAAAUGGAGAUGCAGCACUCACUACUGGGGACAGGGGACCGAAGUCAUAAUAUCAUCAGAGACAUCUUCAUCUCCAACUCUGUUCCCACUAACUCCAUGUGAUUCUGAGAGUGGGGAUUAUGUCACCUUUGGCUGUCUCGCCCAGGACUUUUUUCCAAAAGGUGUUACGUUCCAGUGGACCA